GAGAGCCGUAUACGCAGAGAUGUGUAAGUGCGGUUCGGAGGGGAGCGUUUGGAAACCUACCGCAGCAAUGCGGCAAGGCGCUGGGUGCUUACCCUAC
rnacentral:ncRNA from 1 species